rnacentral:tRNA from 1 species
GCAUGAUCUUGGAUGGUUCUGAGUGCAGGCUUCAAACCUGUAGGGGCUUAGCGGCCCAGUGAUUCGAUUUCACCUUGC